CCUUUCAUUCAUGCAUUUCACCUCCUAUCUUCACAACACCAAAAGCUCCCAACAACACCCCAUUUUCGGUCAAGAACACCCCUCCCCCAUCUUCAUUUUCAAGCCACUUUCAUGAUGAUCAAGAUGCAUUUUCAUGGAACUUAGGAGGAUCUAAGACAACCACAAGUUGAAGCAAGCAUUUCCAUUCAUCUAAGAGCUUUCAACCAUCAAAUCUUCAUCUUCUUUGCUUCUUAUUUUCACCUAGAUCAUCCCUAGCCAAGAGCUAGAAGUGGUGAUACUAUUCAGGACGACCGUACGUCAGAUCACAGUUACUUACCAUUCACGGACGCAAUUCUGAAAUUAGUGGACCAUGCAGACAUUUCAAUCAAGGAAAGC